rnacentral:rRNA from 1 species
UACGAAGGGGGCUAGCGUUGUUCGGAAUUACUGGGCGUAAAGCGCACGUAGGCGGCUUUCCAAGUUGGAGGUGAAAUCCCUGGGCUUAACCCAGGAACUGCCCCCAAAACUGGAAGGCUAGAGUCCGAGAGAGGCGAGUGGAAUUUCCAGUGUAGAGGUGAAAUUCGUAGAUAUUGGAAAGAACACCAGUGGCGAAGGCGGCUCACUGGCUCGGUACUGACGCUGAGGAGCGACAGCGUGGGGAGCAAACAGG